GACGAACGCUGGCGGCGUGCUUAACACAUGCAAGUCGAACGGAAAGGCCCUGCUUUUGUGGGGUGCUCGAGUGGCGAACGGGUGAGUAACACGUGAGUAACCUGCCCUUGACUUUGGGAUAACUUCAGGAAACUGGGGCUAAUACCGGAUAGGAGCUCCUGCUGCAUGGUGGGGUUGGGAAAGUUCGGCGGUUGGGGAUGGACUCGCGGCUUAUCAGCUUGUUGGUGGGGUAGUGGCUUACCAAGGCUUUGACGGGUAGCCGGCCUGAGAGGGUGACCGGCCACAUUGGGACUGAGAUACGGCCCAGACUCCUACGGGAGGCAGCGGUGGGGAAUAUUGCACAAUGGGCGGAAGCCUGAUGCAGCAACGCCGCGUGCGGGAUGACGGCCUUCGGGUUGUAAACCGCUUUCGCCUGUGACGAAGCGUGAGUGACGGUAAUGGGUAAAGAAGCACCGGCUAACUACGUG
rnacentral:rRNA from 1 species